CGCGGCCUAUCAGCUUGUUGGUGAGGUAAUGGCUCACCAAGGCGACGACGGGUAGCCGGCCUGAGAGGGCGACCGGCCACACUGGGACUGAGACACGGCCCAGACUCCUACGGGAGGCAGCAGUGGGGAAUAUUGCACAAUGGGCGAAAGCCUGAUGCAGCGACGCCGCGUGAGGGAUGACGGCCUUCGGGUUGUAAACCUCUUUCAGCAGGGAAGAAGCGAAAGUGACGGUACCUGCAGAAGAAGCGCCGGCUAACUACGUGCCAGCAGCCGCGGUAAUACGUAGGGCGCAAGCGUUGUCCGGAAUUAUUGGGCGUAAAGAGCUCGUAGGCGGUCUGUCGCGUCGGAUGUGAAAGCCCGGGGCUUAACCCCGGGUCUGCAUUCGAUACGGGCAGACUAGAGUGUGGUAGGGGAGAUCGGAAUUCCUGGUGUAGCGGUGAAAUGCGCAGAUAUCAGGAGGAACACCGGUGGCGAAGGCGGAUCUCUGGGCCAUUACUGACGCUGAGGAGCGAAAGCGUGGGGAGCGAACAGGAUUGGAUACCCUGGUAGUCCACGCCGUAAACGGUGGGAACUAGGUGUUGGCGACAUUCCACGUCGUCGGUGCCGCAGCUAACGCAUUAAGUUCCCCGCC
rnacentral:rRNA from 1 species